UUACAGAGUUGCAAAACUCCCUAAACCAUUGUGAACGUUACCUAAACCGUUGCUUCGGCGGGCGGCCCCGGGGUUUACCCCCCGGGCGCCCCUGGGCCCCACCGCGGGCGCCCGCCGGAGGUCACCAAACUCUUGUUAAUUUAUGGCCUCUCUGAGUCUUCUGUACUGAAUAAGUCAAAACUUUCAACAACGGAUCUCUUGGUUCUGGCAUCGAUGAAGAACGCAGCGAAAUGCGAUAAGUAAUGUGAAUUGCAGAAUUCAGUGAAUCAUCGAAUCUUUGAACGCACAUUGCGCCCGCCAGUAUUCUGGCGGGCAUGCCUGUUCGAGCGUCAUUUCAACCAUCAAGCCCCCGGGCUUGUGUUGGGGACCUGCGGCUGCCGCAGGCCCUGAAAAGCAGUGGCGGGCUCGCUGUCACACCGAGCGUAGUAGCAUACAUCUCGCUCUGGGCGUGCUGCGGGUUCCGGCCGUUAAACCACCUUUUAACCCAAGGUUGACCUCGGAUCAGGUAGGAAGACCCGCUGAACUUAAGCAUAUCAAUAAGCGGAGGAUAAGAAACCAACAGGGAUUGCCCUAGUAACGGCGAGUGAAGCGGCAACAGCUCAAAUUUGAAAUCUGGCUUCGGCCCGAGUUGUAAUUUGCAGAGGAAGCUUU
rnacentral:rRNA from 1 species